GUAAUACUAGUAGACUAGCAUUUUAACUGGUCUUCCAAGAGACAAUGACAUUACCUAGUAUUCUGCUCUUAGGACUGGAAAAUUGAACUUUAAUACCAGAAAGAGUAGGUAGGCUCCUUCUUCCACAUGCCUCACCCACAGGUGUCUGCCUGCUCUUUUCUUCAGUAGGCAGGUCUCAUCUUAUCCUACAGAUUCAACAAAAUGAUUUCCUAUAGCUUUCAGCAAUCACAUGAAGAAACAUGUGAUUAAAACAGCCUGUUAUCUUCAUCUCUCAACAACCGACACAAUAUUGCAUUUACAAAAUUCUCCACUAGAACAAUUUGGUUUAAAAGUUUCUACAACAGUCACUGCCUCAAAUAUGUUUAUAGGAUGGCCUUUCUAGAAUUGUCCUUCACAGACACAAGUAUGAUUAAAACAAAGACCAUGUUGUCUAGUAGUAAAAGCCAAGGCAGGAUAUGAGAAUUCAGUCUCCAGGUAACCAAGGAAAGGCAACCCUAAGCAUGUAUCUGCAUGUAAAAUGCUGUAUGGAACACUCUGUACUCAAACUCUUUCAUGAAAUAGCAACUCUGAAGAGAAGCCAGUCUGCAAUGUUUUAUAAUUGUCU
rnacentral:lncRNA from 1 species